CCCUCCCCUCCCUCCGCUCCUCGGCCGGCGGCGUGGGCAGGGCGCUGGGCUGGCUGCGAGCUUCGGGGCUGCUCUGCGACCCUGCCCGUGCGAGGAGCCGCGUGAGGAGGCGUACUCAGCAGUUCAGCCCUUCGCUGCGUCAUCGAUCUCAGCAGCUCUCUGGCACUGCCUGCAUGCAGUACCUGCUCCUGUUUCCCAGGCAGGUUCUAAUGUUCUGAGAACCAUCACGUUACUGUCAAAACGUGAUUUCCCGGAGACUUUUUGACUAACGUGGCAGGAAUUUCAGCUGGAGAGGAAGGCAGACAGAUGGUUCUGAAUGCCCCAUGGCUGCAGCUACAUCAGUUCAUUCAUUUCUUGCCUAUUGUCACUUGGAAGCAUUCUUCAGGUAAGAAAGCUACUUCAAAGUACUCCAUGUGGUUUAUAAGCUUACACUCAACUAAACUUGUGCAUAAAAUGUUUAAAUUGCGUUCAGUGUUUUGUUCUCUCAGUUGUCAUUUGUGUUCUGUUCACACAUGUCAUUAUGAAUCUACCUUUUGUGUUAGACACUGAAAGCACUUCUGCAAAUGAAUGUGAUUUGUAUGUGCCAUGCAGAGUUGGGAGGCACGUGGCUAGCUGUUAGAAGACACGUGCUUAGCAGAGUACAUGCAGUACCUGUAGAUUCUAUGUGCAAUACAAGGCCACCAUAAAUUACAAAAUUCUCCAGGUGUGCCAUCUGCACACACUUCUGUAAAUGUAGAUCAACUCUAAUUACAAACAUGAUUAUACUGGCCUUGAAUUUUCCUAUGUGUGUGAGCUGAAAACAUUAUUUGCAAGAUGUUUAGCGUUUGAGUUUGGUUUUUGCUUAAAAGAUAGGGGCUGCUUCUCUUGUCGUGUUCGUAUCUAGAACAUGUACUGUGUCUGUUUUAAACUGUAAGGCUGAUAUUAACUGUGUAGUUUUUAAAAGAUGCCGUUAUGACUUGUGACUCAGGAGAAUCUAAAGCUUGAUGUCUCUGUUUUUUUUUUAAAUAAUAAUUAGAAAGUUUAGCAUUAAAAAUCUACAAGAAAUCUUAUUUUUGGCUGAAGACACAACUUUAAAAGCAUCCUAUAGUUGUAAUGUUGUUCAGUUUUUAAAUCUGUGUUUUCAUUUCAAACCUAUCAUAGUUUAAACAGGUGGGUGUAGCUGUUCCUAUAACUUUCCAUUGAAAUUUCUUCAAAUACUGUCCAAUGGAUAACUAAUUUUGAAGAUUUUGGGAUACCUUCUUACAGCAGGCCAAGAUACUCUUUCAUACUAUUAUUCAGAGUAUCUUUUUCAUAUUUGUAGAUGGGAGCAUAUUCAUACAUCAUCAGUGUAUUUUUUUCAUAU
ensembl:lncRNA